CCGGCCCCGGCCGCUGUCCCCGCUGGAACCGCGCUCCCGCACCCCGGCGGCAGCUGGCGGGGCCGGGGAGAGCCGCCGGGUUCGUGCUCCCCGGCGGGAACCUCGCGGGAGAGCGCUCCGCAGCGGGCCCUCCGGCCGGGUGGGAUGCCCGAGAUCGCCGGCUGCUCAGCCAAUACCACGAGGUUCAGGUGGGGAGGUGCAGUGCUGGGACUCCGCAAGGUCUGGAUGGAGCAGACAGAUUAAAUGAGACCACCUCCCAUCAUCCCUCCUUUCAGUCCGUGUGCCCCCGACCCAACGAGUCUGUAUCUGUGAUCCAGCCUUCAGGAGAGGAGAGAGAGGCAGGAGCAGUAUCCCCUGGGGCAGGGUUAAUCUCAGUGCAGCUGCAUGUAGUG
rnacentral:lncRNA from 13 species